ensembl:lncRNA
CAGCAUAUGGAAGUUCCCAGGCUAGGCAUCUAAUUGGAGCUGUAGCCACUGGCCUGCACCACAGCCACAGCAAUGAGGGAUCCGAGCUGCGUCUGCAACCCACACCACAGCUCACGGCAACACCAGAUCCUUAACCCACUGAGCAAGGCCAGGGAUCUAACCCACAACCUCAUGGUUCCUAGUCAGAUUCAUUAACCACUGAGCCAUGAGAAGUAUCCCAUUCCUCUGUCAAUGGACAUUCAGGUUGUUUCCAUGUCUUGGCUAUUGUAUAUAGUGCUGCAGUGAACAUUGGAGUACAUGGAUCUUUUCUAAGUCAUGGUUUUCUCUGGAUAGAUGCCCAGGAGUGGGACUGCUCAUUCAAAUGGUAAUUCUAUUUUUAGUUUUCUGAGGAAUCUCCAUACUGUUUUCCACAGUGGUUGCACCCAUUUACAUUCCCACCAACAGUGUAAUAGGGUUCUCUUUUCUCCACACCCUCUCCAGCAUUUACUGUUUGUGGACUUUUUGAUGAUGGCCAUUCUGGCUGGUGGUCAUUAGUGUUGUGGAAUGUCUUUUCAUGUGUUUUUUGGCCAUCUGUAUGUCUUCUUUGGAGAAUUGUCUGUUUAGAUCUUCUGCCCAUUUUUUGAUGGGGUUGUUUGUUUUCUUUUUGGUAUUGAGCUACAGGAGGUGUUUAUGAAUUUUGGCGAUUAAUCACUCAUCGGUUGCUUCAUUUGCAAAGAUUUUCUCCCAUUCUGUGGGUUGUCUUUUUGUUUUGUUUAGGGUUUCCUUUGCUGUGCAGAAACUUUUAAGUUUAAUUAAGUCCCAUUUGUUUAUUUUUGGUUUUACUGUCAUUACUCUAGGGGGUGGAUCUGAGAAGAUAUUGCUGUGGUUUAUGUUGGAGAGUUUUUGGCCUGUGUUUUCCUCUAAGAGUUUUAUAGUCUCCAGUCUUAUAUUUAGGUCUUUAAUCCCUUUUGAGUUUGUUUUUGUGUGUGGUAUUAGGAAGUGUUCUAAUUUCCUUCUUUUCCAUGUGGCUAUCCAGUUUUCCCAGCACCACUUAUUGAAGGGACUGCCUUUUCUCCAUUGUAUAUUCUUACCUCCUUUGCCAUAGAUUAGUUCACUGUAGGUGCGUGGGUUUAAUUCUGGGUUUUCUAUCCUGUUCUUCUGAUCUACAUUUCUGUCUUUGUGGUUUUGAUGACUGUAGCUUCGUAGUAGCUUUGUUUUAUAGUCUGAAGUCAGGGAGCCUUAUUCCUCCAGCUCUAUUUUCUUUCACUUCCAAACAAACUUUAAGAUAUUUUGUUCUAGUUCUGUGAAAAAUGUCCUUGGUACUUUGAUAGAGAUUUCACUGAAUCUGUAGAUUGCCUUGGGUACUACAGUCAUUUUGAUAAUAUUGGUUCAUCCAAUCCAAGAGCAUGGUAUGUCUUUCUAUCUAUUUGUAUCAUCUUUGAUUUGUUUCAUCAUCAUCUUAUAGUUUUCAGAGUACAGGUCUUUGAUCUCUUUAGGUAGGUUUAUUUCUAAGUAUUUUAUUCUUUUUGAAGAAGUGCAAAUCAAAAUAAAAGACAAAAAAAAAGGAGUUGCUGUUGUGGCCCAGCAGUUAACGAACCUGACUGGCAUCCAUGAGAAUGCAGGUUCGAUCCCUGGCCUCGCUCAGUGGGCUAAGGAUCCUGCGUUGCCAUGAGCUGUGGCAUAGGUUGCAGAUGAGGCUCAGAUCCUACGCUGCUGUGGCUGUGGUGUAGGCUGGCGGCUACAGCUCCAAUUGGACCCCUACCCUGGGAACCUCUAUAUGUCGCAGCUGCAGCCCUAAAAUGAAAGAAAGGCAAAAAAAAAAAAAAUGAGAUACCACCUCACAUCAGUCAGAAUGUCAAUUAUCAAAAAGAUAAGAAACAACAAGUGUUGGUGGGAAUGGGAUGAAAAGGAAACCCCUACGCAUGCUUGAUGGGAGUGUAAACGGGUGCAGCCAUUCUGAAAAGGCCUAUGGAGAUUCCUCAAAAAUGCAAAAAUAGAGGUACCAUAUGAUCCAGCAAUUCCAUUUCUUGGUAUUUUCCCGAAAUUAAAAAUACUAAAUCAAAAAGAUAUAUGUAUCCUAGUUUCAUUGCUGCACGCUUUACAAUGGCUAUGAUAUGGAAGCAAUAUGUGUCCACAUGAAUAGAUAUUGAAGAUGAGAUUGAUAGAUAUAUAACGGAAUGAAUACAAUUCACCCAUAAAAAGAAUGAAAUCUUGCCAUUUGUGACAAUAUGGAUGGACCUAGAGGGUAUUAUGCUAAGUGAAACAAGUCUGAGUAAGACAAACACUGUAUGAUUUGACUUACAUGUGGAAUCUAAAAGAGAAAACAAAUGAACAAACAAAACAGAAGCUACUCAUAGAUACAGAGAACAAACUGAUGUUUACCAGAGGGGAGGGAGGUGGGAGAUGAAUGAAACAGGUAAAGAAGAACAAAUUUCCAGCUGUAAAAUAAAUAAGUCAGAGUAACGUACACAUAGGGAAUAUAGUUAGCAAUACUGUAACAAUUUUGUAUGGUGACAGUACUUGAACUAGUAAAUAUUUCAUAACGUAUUAAAAUACCAAUCACAAUGUUGUACAUCCGAAACUGAUAUAAUAUUGUGUGUCAAUUAUGACUUAAUAAAAACUUUAAGAAAUUAAACUAACAGAACUUGAAUAUUGAACAUGGGGAGAUGUGGAGAGAGAUAAAUUUAGGCUAAUUCUCUGGUUUGGGACUCAGAAAAAGGAUAUGUAAUAGUGUUAUGUUAAUAUUUGGUCUUGGGCCUGAAGAGAAAGAUGAGUAGUUCACGUGGGGAUAUGAUGAUUUUCAAGGGCCUAGAAAUAACCAAGUUUAGUAAUACAGAAAACUCUUAAAUAUAUGAAUCUGAAAGUCAAGAGAGAAGUCAUGGAUGAAGACAGAUUUGAGAGUCAUCGCAACACAGGGGUACAUUAAAAUCAAGAGAGUGGAUAAUAUGGCCUAAGGAUAGUGUAUAGGAAGAGGAAGGCUAUGAGCCAAAGAUAAAUGCUAAGGAGGAAAAAGAAGGGUGCUUGGAAUGAAGUUAGGUACAGUGUAAUCAAGAUAAAAUAUUGGCAUAAAAUAAGGAAGGAUUUCAAGAACCAGUGAUACUUAACAAAAUGCAGGGUCUAUAAAAUAUAAAUAGAAACAGUUCUUUGCAUUUGGCUAUUAGGUUGUCAGUGACCUGUUCAGUAAUUGUUUCAAUAGUAUACUGUGAGCAGAAAUCAAAUUACAAGAGGCUGAAGAAUAGUGAAAAUUGAAGAAAGUGGAAAAAGUAAAUCUAUUUCCUUCAAAGAAGCAUGGUGAGAAGGAAGGAUAGGGUGUGGGACAGUGGCUCAAGGAAGACAUGGUCUAUGAGAUGGCUUGAAGGCUUUUUUCUCCUUAUUUUUGGUGGUUUGUCUUACAAUGAGAGUAAAAUUUCUACUUCAAAAUGGAAGAAAUUUGAGUUUGUAAGAAUGUAUAAAUUCAGGGGCUAAGUCUAACAUCUGAGAGAGAACUUCUGAUCCAUAGUUACAACACACAAACAUGUACAUGCCAGUUGCCUUAUCAAUCACAGCACAUGGCAGUAACAUGAAUACACACCCACACAUACACACACACACCAAAGCUGUCAUAUAAUGAUACACACACAUAUCAAAAUUACAUCACAUAGUGACAAGACACACACAUGCGCACACACAACACACAUCAAAAUUAGUUUGGGACGAUCAAGUCCUUGCAUUUAUUCCAAUUUUGAGUUCUAAUAAGAUAUAAUAGAAAGAUUACUUGACUAAGGAAUCAAUGACCAGGGUUAUAGUCCUGUCUUUUCUUCAAAAUGGCCAUGUGACAUUUCAGUAAUUUUGUCCUUCUGCGAUUCAGUGACCUUACUUGAAAAAUUAGAGUGCUGAACUGAAUUAGAAAUGACAGCUUAAAUACCAACUCUGAUGGACUGACACAGACUGUGUGGCAUGCUGUGUUGAAUAGCUUUCUGAGGCUAUGUCUAAGCCUCCUAGUCAAGACAAUUAUGAUAGACUAGCAAUGUCUGCCAUGGAUAGGAAAAUAGCAGUGCUAAGUGUUUAUCAUUUCUCAACUCUAGAACUUGAACAUUCCAUGAUUCAUUAAAUGCAUUGUGUCAUGCAUUAUAACUUUGACCCAGUAAAAUGCUCUGUAGCAAUUUUUACCCCUUAUUUAUUCCAAAGCCCAUUAUUCUUUUACUAAGGGAAUGAAUGAAUCUACAUCAUUAGUCUGUGGUCUUAUUCAGAAACUAGUCCUAUUCUUUGCUGUUUAUUUUCCUAAUAAGCUUCUAUAAUAGCCAUCCAUACAAUUUAGGGAAAUAAACCACUGGCUGUAAAACAUUUCAUAUAUUUGGAAGUGCAUGUAUGAGGCUUCAAAUAAAAUUCAUGAUAUUUUGGACUAUAACAGAACUUGUUUUCAAGAGCUCUAUUGGUCCUUUCUUGCUAGAUUCAAAUGUUAUAUUUAUAGCAUUUCUAAUACUCAAGUAAGGGAUCCAAUAUCCAGUCCUUUACAUCAGAAUCCACUGCUCUACAGGUACAACUAUAGGGCAAUAGCUUAUGACAACCAGUUCUCUAAAGCAUAUUAAUGAAAGAUUUCUCCUCUCCUCAACCACCCAUGAACUCUCGAGAAUGUUUAUUUUCUAACUGACUGUCAUAAAUAUAGCUUUGCUUGCCACUUCAAGUGGUUUCAGGCCAUGCUAUUAAUGUGUGACACUCUAUCUGAUGGCCUGUAACUUCUGAUAAUACUAUUUGCCUAUAGCACUGCUGGGAGGCUCAAAUGAAACGUAAAGGAAAACACUUUAUAACACCUGAUUCUUCAUCACCAUCAUAAACUGUGUGAUUACCAUUUUUAUUCUCUUUCCCAGCAUAAAUGCUCUGCUUAGGGAAAUACAGGGAUUGUUUUUUAACUACAUGUAUGACUGAUACUUGGUCAAAGAACCAGAUUGGCAAGUCACAGAAUUUUCAGAUAAAUACUCUCAAAAUGUCUUAGUUCACAAGCCUAGUGAACGUUGUUGUCAUUAAUAUCCCUUUUAUUUUGGUAUUUUUAUUUGUAAAAAAACUGGUUUAUUUAAUACAAAACUUGGUGGCCCUCUAUUCCUUCUACUUCGUGCCUAUCCCCUAGGAGGUAGCUAGGCAAUUUUCACUGUCUAUGAACAUUACUUCUAUCUCAUUUGUUCUUUUAUCUCCUGGAGGAACUCUAGUGACCUGCAUGCUCCUUCCACACUGGCUUUUUGAUAUGUUUCUUCUUCUCUGUAGUCAUUUCCUUCUCAUUGCUUUGUUUCAGCAUUUGGAGACUCUCAAGCUAGUUCUCCAUAUUAUUGCUGCAGUUAUCCACAGGGUCGACUAUACUACUCCUAAUAU